rnacentral:lncRNA from 1 species
GAUCCUGGAGCAGCUGGAAGACAGUGAGAACGAUGGCGAGGAGCAGACUCUUCAGCUGUGAGCUGGCACCAGGAGGGGCUGCUAAGCUGGAGUUCCCACCUCCGUCUGUCCAAGGACGACUCGCAGCCUGGGACUUGACCUCUGACCUGCCGCAUCCUCGCCCCUGAGGGCUGUGAGCCCUUAGUCACCAGAGCACCUUGUGUCCAUGGUGACCAUGGGGCCACUCACAAAGCCCCAACUCCAAGCCCAGCUGCCAGGUUCAUUGGUUGAGCUCAGCUGUGUUGCUAACGGUGAAUGCCUUUGGCUCACGGACUGGGGACCCAAUGAAAUGCCAUCAGGUCCCCAGCCCUGGCAAGCAGCACCCCAAGGCUCAUCCCAGAUUUGGGGGCACCCACAGGCCCACACCUACUCCUGCCUGGAGGUUUGUACCCAGCACACGCCAGGAUGGGGACAGUGGAGAGAAAAGGGCUGUGGCCCAUGUGCCCUGGGACCAGCUGGGGCCACUCUGAGCCUCAGCUUCUCUCUCUGUAAGGUGAGGGAUCUCGUGCCUACCUCAGACAUGGUGCUUGGACUCCUUCAUCAAUCCAAGUAAAGCCAGAACAAGUGCUCAUCAGCGUUUCUAUUUACUUCUUAAUUUGGGGCGGCAGGGCUGUGAGUGCCAGCCCAGGAAUCUUCUGAGUUGCUGUGUAAAAUUUGGUCUCUGUUUUUCUGGGAGGAGGCUCCAGUGCACUUCAAGCAGUUUUCAAAGUGGCCUGGAAUCCAAGCAAGACUACACAGCGCCGACCGCCUCCCACGAGGCCCAGCGUGUCCCCAGUUCCCUCUGGGGCAGGUGCUUCCUGAUCAGUCCUAGCUCACCCCUGGGACGUGAAGAGAAGUGAAAGACACAGGCCCAGCGUGGCUCAUUCCCAGCUUUUAAGGGGAGUGUCCCCGCAACAUCAGACCACUGCAUCCAGUGGAGGCCCGGGGUGACCGGACUCCCAAGUCACCGUGGGUCCCAGGAAUGAUGGGGCUGGGAUCUCCCCCUCCCUCCCCACAGUGUGUCCUAUUAAGGGCCAUGUGGAUUCUUCUAGUCAAAUAAGAUCACAGACCCAUGGGAUUGGCACGGAAGCAGGCAGCAUUGGCACCAACAUCACUGACCUAGGUAACUAUACUAGGACGUCCCCAGAGCAGGAUUUGCCACCUCCUGCUGUCAGCGCGCCAGCUCAGGCUCUGCGUUCAGACCAGUCUGGGUCCCUGGUUCAAUCCAUCCCUCGCCAGCUUCAGGAGCCUGGGUCAGUGCCUUAACCUCACCUUUCAAAUGGGAUGACGCUAACAGUGCCUCCAUCACAGGGGGUGGGGGGUAGUGAGGCCCGGAGAGCUUCAAAUACCUGCAGGAUGUGAAUGUCUGACCCCAGCCUUGGGUCUUUCUUUGACCUUCAUGCUUUACUGUCUUAACUGUGUCCCCAAAAAAAGAAGCAAGCUUCAACCCAAGCUAGAGAGUAAUAAAAUAAAGCCAGGCCCUUAGCCUCGCCCAGAGGAAGAGGGACCACACGAAAGCAUUUCAGGAGAAAAGCAUCCAUCCAGCGUAUGCUGGGUGAACUGGGGAGGUUGACAGUCACUGUUGUCACCAGGGUGGUGGGGCGCAAGGGGGCUUUCAAGGAGGGGCUUCAGUUGGGUUUGAAUGAUGACAGGGCAUGGUGGUGGUCCCAUUCUCUCAGAAGAUCUAGGAGAGAAGUUCCAGAAAUAAAGCACGGAGUCUCGGCUGAAGAAAGAUGAGCCUUCUGAUCCUCAUGUAGACGGGAGCCAAGACCGGAGACAGGCUCACCUCUGCUCAAGGGGUCUGCGACCCCCCGAUACGGUCUGGGGAGAACUAAGAGGAGCACAUAGUGAGUCUGGACUGGAGCAGCGCCCGGGACAGGGCAGGUGAUGCAGACAGCCUGGGACCACAAGGUCAGCGGGACUGCCUGCUUGCACCUGGACGGGGCCCCUGGGCUCGGGCUGUUGAGGAGCAGGGACGGGCUUGGAGAAGAAAGAGAGACAGUUGAGGCCCCUGGGCCUGACGUUGGGGGCAGGGGGUGUUACCCAGACACUUCCGAUGGACGUGGAGGGUCCAGGCUCUGUUGCGGGACAAGCAUGGUCAACAGGAGGGGCAGAAGUGAGUGGCAAUGAGGUGCCCUCCGUGUGGGGUGGGGGCAGUAGAAUGCACAGGCCCCUGAUUCCAGGAAGGCCUGGGUUGGAAUCUCAGCAGCACCACCCACUUGCCUGUGUGACAUGCUCAAUUCUCAUAUCUUUAAAACGGGUGUAAGAAUUACUGCAAGUAGGAUUUUUGUUAAGACCGAAUAGGAGAUCAUGGAUGGAAAGCACUUAGCAGAUUGCUUCAGACGUAGGGAACCUUAAAUAAUGGUGGUAGUGGUAAUUAUCAAUGUCAUUGUCAUCAUUAUUCUACAAAGAGAAAAGCUUACAGGGCUACACGUAGGAAAUGCCCAAGGAAGUCAGACCAGGCCUGUAUACACCAGGCCUGCUGGGCCCACGUUGGAGGCACAGGCAGGGCUGGGAGUCCCAGGAGGUGGGUGCUGAUGGAAAGGAGUCCUUGUAUCCAGGAAGGCAGCCCAGAGAGGGUGCCCUCUACUCAGCACAGCCCCAGAGCAGUCCAAGCAGGCAUGCGUGGCUUACCCAGUCACACAAAGGCAAAGCCAGGUGCAGGGUGGGCCUGGGGAUGCCCAGGUGUGGUCAGGAAACAUGUGAACCCCUCCCCCAGGGACCCCCCCCCCAGUGGCCCACCCUUUCCACCUUGGGGUCACCCACGGGCAGUGAUGCCAUUGCCACAGUAGGCUGACAGCCAGGCUCGGGCGCCUGCAUCAGCAUAUAAGCCAUCCCACAGACCUGAGCCAUUUAAAGAAAGGCCCGCGUCAGCAGUCAGCACUGCGGGGCGAUCCACGGGUAUGAGGUCUCCUUCCUGCUGGGAAACGCAAGCUGGCAACCUCCAGCCAGUUGGCACAGUGUGCGGGGCUGGCAUGGAGGCUCAUGAGACUUAGAGAGCCCAGGUCCCAACAGAAGCACCUUGACCCUGGGAGAGCACCCCGCAUCUUAUGGCAUCUCAGAAAGACGGGAAAAGAGCCCCAGCCAGAAGCAGAGAGGCUGGCGGAGUAAGCCCUCAAAGCCAACCACUAAUCCUCCCCCCAAUUCAUUCGUUCAUCCAUCCAACGCCAAGUGCCCCCCUGCGCUCAGCCCUGUGCUGGGUACCAGAGAUGCAAGGACAGAAACCCCGGGUCCACUCCGAGGUCUGGCUCCUGGGCUUGAAGUCAGGCAGAGGAGGAUUUCCAGCGGCCCUUUGCCUCCUUGUUUUUCCUCCCUUCCUUUUACUGCCUCCUUGGGCGCUUUUGUCUUUUGUGGCAGGGCCCGUCCCUCCCAGCGCCCGUCUGUGCUCUGCAGCAUCUAGGAAAGGAUUAGUGCAAGCCGAGCAUGCAGGCUUUGGUGAACAGAGCCGAGUUUGGUUUCAACAUCUAAUUCAAUUUGUUCUGCCGAGAUUGAAAUAUGAAAUGGUUGCCAGUCAAACGUUCAAAGGACGGCGAAGGGAGAGUGAGCGCCUGCUGAAAUUUAAAUUUUAAUGAAAAUGACUUUAACCCUUUGGUACACCUUGCAGAAACGGAACCUGAGAUCCCAUCCCGCGAAAAAGCCUCUUGGGUUCUCUUUGCUGAGCUUCACUAAUAAUACGCAGUCAUUUUUUUUCAGCAGUGUUAUAAUAAUAACAGAUUAAUAG